rnacentral:rRNA from 1 species
GACGAACGCUGGCGGCGUGCCUAAUACAUGCACGUCGAACGCAGUGGGGACGGGUGAUUAACACGUGGGUAACCUCCCAUCAGAGGGGAUAACACUUGGAAACACGUGCUAAACCGCUACUGAUGGAUGGACCCGCUGUGCAUUAGCUAGUUGGUGAGGUAACGGCUCACCAAGGCCACGAUGCAUAGCCGGACUGAGAGGGUGAUCGGCAACACUGGGACGGAGACACGGCCCAGACUCCUACGGGAGGCAGCAGUAGGGAAUCUUCGGCAAUGGACGAAAGUCUGACCGAGCAACGCCGCGUGAGUGAAGAAGGUUUUCGGAUCGUAAAACUCUGUUGUUAGAGAAGCGGUAUCUAAACAGAAAGCCACGGCUAACUACGUGCCAGCCGCCGCGGUAAUAC